rnacentral:lncRNA from 1 species
GGGGGAGGGGCUGUUACUCACACGCGCCGGUCUGGGUUCAGAUCAGUUCUGCUCUCUGGUCUCCCAAGGCCCUUGAUUUAUAGGGUCCCCGCAGAUGAAAGCUUUCCCCCCAGUCAGCGGGUCUCCACUGAAUCAGCGGCAGGAGUCCUGGAUGAUCCCCCGGUCGCGCGGGCCCUCCCCCGCUCCUUCCCGACCCGCCCGCAGCGAUCGCAGACUCUAGGGGAGGGAGCGAUGUUCUCUCCUACCGUUCCAGCGCCUCCGAAGGUCUGGCUCCAUGGGCAUGGACCACCAGAAAAGCAUACUUGGAGUCAGUGAAAAUGGUCACCCUCUUGCCCUUGUCUAGAUGGAGGGCUCUCGUCAGAGCUAGAAAUUCAUGAAAAGGACUCUGGCAGUUACUCUAGAGUACAGGUUCCUGAUCAACUUUCAGAUUGUAAAACUGAACUGGUUUCACCUCCUGGACCACUUCUCAUCAAAUGAUUCUCGUCUCCAGAGGAUCUGUAUACCUUGUCAGCCUUGGACUCCAUGGGUGCAACCUUCCGGUGCACUGAACUUCCUGCCUAUACCCCUAUGGCCCAAUUUAGGGACAGCUCUACGACCUUGUACAGAUGAAAGUAGUUACAGAAGAUUGACCAUCGUCCAUAUCCCCAAAAGAUUUUGGGGCCAAAUAGGUUCGGGGGGGUGGUUUAUGAUGAGAAUCAAGGCUGCCCCAGGGAGAGAAGCACAAGGUGUCCUGCCCCACAUACUGAUCUAUAUCAUCCUCUGGGAAGCAUAGGACGUCCUGACCUGAUCUGAUCUGAUUCUCGUGUAAAGUUAUAGGACCACCCAAUAACCAGACCCCACCUACACUGAUACCAUUUUAACAAGUUUUUUACAUAAUCUUUCCUUUGUCUUGUGAAGAAAUAAUUCACAUACCUAUGCCUCAGAUUUAGCCCUGCCCUCAACCCAUUGCAGCUCUCACUGCCCAUGGGUCCUGUCCCCAUGCUGCAGCUCUUCACUACCCACCGCUCCUGUCCCCAUGCUAUUCUCUGAAUAAAGGAGCACUACUACCAGACCUUGAGAGUCCAAGAAAUCUUUCUUUCAACUCCUCGGCUCACUGAGCCUGCAUCACAUAAAAUCUUUGUCCUCCCAAGAUCUCAGUCCAGGGAGAGAGAGAGAAAGAGAA